GUUAUCACAGUCACAAUCAGAAAUAUUCACACCCUUCACCUCAAAAGACAGGAUGCUGAUGUAGAUGAGAUAUAAUGACAAUAAAUUAGAUUGUUAAACACCAACAGAAACAUUUAUUGGUGCAUUUCUGAGUUAAUGUGACAAACAAAACGUGGAGAUCAGAUGAAAAAUGUAACUUUUCACAUACGGGCAGAAUUAUUCAACCAGCAGCUGCAGUUCUUUAGCUGUUUAACAAACUGAUGAGCUUCAUUGGGAUCUUUGUUCCUUCUUCUCAUGCAGAACACGCUUCUGAUGUUAGCAAAAUAUACCAAAUGCUGCGUCAUUCAUUUUCUGUGUUUAUUUUAGGUUUUAUUCAACCCAUAAAGACAGAAUCACGCGUUUAGACACAACUUUGAUAAAUUCUUAAAAACGUUUUCUGUCGUGGGGGUUAAAUAUUUUAGACUGCAACUGUAUGACUUGUCAUGAUGUGAGAUUUAACUUUCUAAUUUAAGCUCAGCGCACUAACGGUGUCGUUUUCACAGAGGCAGGUGUGAAAGAUGGCCGCAUACAGCGCACAGCUGGAGUCUGUAAGAAACUGGCUUCCUUUCCAUAGGAGGUGAAACGGGAUGAUCUGGGUGUUCCAAAGUACACACUCACACCUGAGACUCCCACCAGGUGAUCACGUCACACCUGAGACUCCCACCAGGUGAUCACGUCACACCUGAGACUCCCACCAGGUGAUCACGUCCACACCUGAGACACCCACCAGGUGAUCACGCUCACACCUGAGACUCCCACCAGGUGAUCACGUCACACCUGAGACUCCCACCAGGUGAUCACGCUCACACCUGAGACUCCCACCAGGUGAUCACGUCACAUGGUGAUACAAAGAAUACCUGAGCAGGAGAGUGUCAGGUUCUGAUUGGCUGCUUGGUCCUCAGCUGGGAAGCUAUGGGUGUCCUGGAGGUGUGGAUGCCUCGUCUGCAGAGCGGUGUGUCAGCGUACGUCUGAUCAACACCACCGUUCCUGCUGAGGAAGACAGCAAUGCUGAACUAACCAAACAUUCUAGCCUACUAGAACCAGAAAUACCCAGAUGACCUGCUCGAUAUCACCUCUAUCCUUGACCCGCGAUGCAGAACCACCGACACAAAGUCAGAAAAGGUGGAACCCUUCAUGUCCAGAGGAUCAGCAGCAGGGCUUGUUGCUCCAUCUGCAGACAAAAGGAAGAAGAUCUGCAGCUCUUCAAAAAGCACAGCAGCAGCAGCGUGGUUGGCAGCGGGGGACACUGAGGAGGAAACCGUCUAGAUGGAGCUGAGACCAGAGGUGGACACUGAUCCUGAUCCUUUGGGUCGGUGGAGAUCCCAUCAGGCGGAUGUCCGCCUCAGUAAUCAUGUGAACCUAUCUGCAGUGCUCCGUCUGAGAGUUCAGCCCUGAUGCAAACACCGACCGUCCUGCAGAGCUGCAGUCAGACCAGAUGCUGUGGACCGCUGAGUUUUCCUGGUUUAAAAUCUGUCAUGGCUGAGAUGCUUUAUGAAGCUUGUCCAUAAAUGAAAUGUGUGAAUAUUGUUUCUAUGCUACAGGAUAAUCCUGUAAGCCACGCUGCACUUUUAUGGUUCGAUGCUAGAACACUGCCUGGCCAACAGCAUUACUAAUGCAACUAGCAUACUCUUAGUUUACUAUUUCUUUGUUUAAAUGUGUGUUCUAAUAUAACUUCAUCCUGAAGCAAAGUCAAUAUGAUCUGUGGACAUUUAGUUGUUUUCAGCCUAAGCUGCUUUUAUAUUUUAAAUACUAGAAUACUGGUUGAGCUUGAAGUAAUUUAUUAAUGCAAGUUGCACCUUUUCUUUUCUUUUUGUUUGAAUAUUAUUUCUAGAUGUUGCUUUAAUGAAUGUUCAGUGGAUAAAGAAGUCUACACGCAGCAGCUCCAGAUGUGUUUUCAAGCUGUAAAACAUGCAGAAUAAAGGGUUCUGGAUUUUAA